rnacentral:rRNA from 1 species
GUGAGGAAUAUUGGACAAUGGCCGGAAGGCUGAUCCAGCCAUGCCGCGUGCGGGAGGACGGCCCUAUGGGUUGUAAACCGCUUUUGCGAGGGAGCAAUAAGGGUAACGUGUUGCCCGAUGAGAGUACCUCGCGAAUAAGCAUCGGCUAACUCCGUGCCAGCAGCCGCGGUAAUACGGAGGAUGCAAGCGUUAUCCGGAUUUAUUGGGUUUAAAGGGUGCGUAGGCGGUUUGCUAAGCGGGAGGUGAAAUGCCGGCGCUCAACGUCGGAAGUGCCUCCCGAACUGGUGGACUGGAAUGACUCUGCCGUGGGAGGAAUGUGUAGUGUAGCGGUGAAAUGCUUAGAGAUUACACAGAACACCGAUUGCGAAGGCAUCUCACGAAGGGUUGAUUGACGCUGAGGCACGAAAGCGUGGGGAUCAAACAGG